rnacentral:misc_RNA from 1 species
GAAUCCAUGGGAGAAGAAAUCAAAAGCUAUGGUGGAUUUCGGUGAUGAGGAGUAUAAACACAUGGUAUGUGUUGAUGGAGCAGCAAUUGAGAGACCUAUCACCUUGAAGCCAGGCGAGGAAUGGACAGGGCGUUUAGAGCUCUCAGUUGUACCUUCGAGUUUCUGUAGUGAACACUAUGAUCUUCAGAGAAGAGGUCUUUGAAGAAUACAUGAGUUUUCAAGAGUAAAUGGCCCUAUAUGAUGUUGUAAUGGCUCUGAUAAUGCUUGAAAACCUCUCUCUUUCUUUCUUUUUUUUUUUUAAAAAAA